rnacentral:rRNA from 1 species
AUGUUGCCUCAGCCCCUGCUGCAAGAGUCUUUUGGCCAUGCCCCCAUCACCAUCCACCUUUCUAGUCCAAGCUUUGUCCCCAUGCUACCUCAGCCCCCAGAGCUUGCCACUGUCAUCCGUCACCUUGCUGACUACAAGUUCGGUGUCCACGAUGACACUCUACUGAUCAAGCACUGCCAGAACGGCACUGUCUUCACCCAGCACGACAAAGGAGAAACAGAAUUGACACUUGGAGUGCACCGCCCGCUGUGCCCUGAGAGAGAUAUGCCUAUCGUCCUACCAUUCCCAUGUGUGGAACGUAAUAUCCAAUGGUUUGGUGCAAUGCUCUCCAAACAAGGCAGCAACGGUGGCUUGUCCUACCUGUAUGUGUUGGGUACCAAGGACUUGGGCAAGUUCCUGGUGCGUGUAUCUCAAUCCGCAGAUCCCUCCCCGCUCCGGCGAGCCCGCCAUGAACCGUCUGCGGGCGGGGAGCCCAGUCUACGGGCGGCAGCGCAGCGGGAGCAGCACGGGCUUCACCUCCCCGGGCGGUAUCUCCCCCUUCCACCACCGCUCCUCCUCCACCUCCUUUGCUGCCUCCCUCCAACGCCCGCACAGCUCGCCAAAAACAUAGACGUCGUCGCCGCCGCCCCUCGCACCAUGGUCGGCCCCUGCAUCGACUCCCCACACCUCCCCGCCCUCAAGUGGCUCCUGCCCUCCACUACCUGGAUCCGCGUCACCCCAUUCGCAUCCCCACCCACCUGCUGCCGCCAUCGACUCUCGCCGCCCCCGUCCACCACCUCGUACCACGCCGCCGACCACCAUCCACUCUCGCGUGCACACGACCUCCUCGCUCUUCGCGACUGCUCCACCACCGCGCCGAGCUCGCCUCGUUCCGCUGCGUCCUCUACUCCGGCUGGAUCCGCCAUGUCUGGUGAGUUCAUCCCCCUCCCCCCUCCUUCCUCCUAUCUCUCCCUUCCCUCUCUAAUCUCCUCUCUUGAAUUAUCUUCUUUUGUAGCAGUAGAGGAGCGGGUGGGGAAGCACCAACCAAGGCCAUGUCAUGGAGGUUCUGCUCAAGCAACCCUGCACUGCUUGCAGCCGACGCGGUGGAGAGCUCUAUUUCUUCUUCUUUUGCUUCCUGGCGAGGCCGGUGAUGUCCCUGGGGUGGCGCCGACGCUUGCCCUGGUCGCCGCGGUGGUGCUUCGGCGGCUUCUAGACCCUCUCCUGGAUGUGGUGAUGGUCACACCACAGCCGUGCUCCUCCAUGGCCUUGGCCAUGAUUUGGGUUGGAUGUGGGGCUCUACUAGUUGCUGCUAGAUGCUGGUCUUUCAGUAGCUGCCCAUGUGUACUUGCUUUAUAUAUGUGCUCCUGUGAUGCUCUGUGGAACAACCUGGAGUUAGAGAACUUCAAGGCCAAGAUCAACGAGGUGACCGGCGUUAUGGCGGCUGUGUACGGCGGCGACCACAAGUUCUUCGGUGAGCUGGCUCCAUCUCCUACCCCUAGCUCCCUCUUUUCUGUUGGACUCAUGCUCUGCACCUACACCAGCAGCUUGAUUGGUUCUAUAUACACUAGCAGCAGUACCUCAUGUACAUGUAAUUGGACGCCCAGGGUUGAAGGUGCUAAGGCGCCGACGCACCGGCCUAAACUUUCGGCCGGUCCGCUGCUAGCCAUCCGAUUUGGAAGUAGCGAACCGUCAGAUCUUGCCUCCUCAUACUUCCCCUUUCCUGUCCUUUCUCACACGCACAAGGAAACGAAACACAAAAAGUGCCAUCGAUCCAUGCCCGUGCGACCUCCAUGCCCGCGCGACCUGGAAGCUCCGCUGGUUCCCCAACGCUCGUCGCUCGCCGUCGACAUCGCCGCUCGUCGGUUGCAGCAGAAAAAACAAAGCAACGCCAGCUUGAAAGCAAAACACAUGGUUCCAGCAAAUAAUUAA